ACUCAAAUGAAUUGACGGAAGUUUGUACAAGCGGUGGAGCAUCUGGUUUAAUGCGAGAUAACGCGCAGAACCUUACCAGUUUUUGAAUAUUAGUAAUUUUUUUUGAAUGAAAAAAAAUAUCAAAAUUUUGUUUUAUAUGUUGAUAGGACUAAUACAGGUGCUGCAUGGCUGUCGUCAGCUCGUGUAGUGAUAUGGUUGGUUAACUCCUUUAACGAGCGCAACCCUUACUUUUAGUUUUAAAAAUUGAAUAGAAUUUUAAUUUUAAUAUUAAAAGAACUGCCUUUUAACUAAUUGAGGAAGGUGAGGAUAAUGUCAAGCCAAGAUGGCCCGAAUAGACUGGGCUACACAGGUGCUACAAUGGUAAUUACAAAAAGAAGCACUAACGUGAGUUGAAGCAAAUCUUUAAAAAUUAUCUUAGUUCAGAUUGUUGUCUGCAACUCGAGAGCAUGAAGGAGGAAUCGCUAGUAAUCGUGAAUCAGCACGUCACGGUGAAUCGUAACCCAAACUUAGUACACACCGCCCGU
rnacentral:rRNA from 1 species